rnacentral:lncRNA from 1 species
AAACUUGAGCGGUACUUCAUUUGAGUGAGCAAACUAAAUUCCCGCCCAGCGGGAUUUGUGGCAAACUUGACUUAAGAGAGGUUGAACGGGCCGGUCAGCUGCUGUGCUAGAACAACGUCAACCAAUGCUUGGGUCAGUAUUGUAUUCUAGUCGAAAUCGUUCAAAGUGAGCUUUCUUCGCUCAUGUCCGUAAUGAGGUAUAAGUACUGGCCAAGUGCUCGAUAAACAGGGAUUGCGUUCGGUCAAAGCUGUUUUUCUUGGCAUUCAGUCUCGCAGAUCACUGUGUCUCGGCGUCUUCAAUAGCAGGAAUCACUGGCGAAACACUUUGGGCUCUGCUUCGCCCACGAGCAAGACAAGAUAAGGCGAACCAGGAUGCCUUUCCCAGAAUCCACGCUGAUGUAAAACUCCUUCAUCUUAAAAAUACCCCAUGGUGAUGUCAUCGGGUACGAACUCUCGCCGGAUACCAACUCGGCCACUACUCGGAAACCACCGAGACGACAAAAACUNUCGUGUCUGAAAGAGAAAACUCAUCGGAAAUUCAAACCAUCACGAUCCUACGAUCAACUAAUGCAAGUUGAUAGCAUAAUAUUUACUCUUAGACAAAGAGCAGUUAUUCUAAGGAUAUGUGGUUUUGCUCAAAAACAUCUUUUUUAUGUGACAAGUGCUUCCGAGCCGGGAGCAAUGCCGAAGUAAAUAAAAAAAUAUCGGAGCCUUAUUUUUACUUGUUUUGGAACUUUGCAAAANGUUAUUACCAGGGCUACAAGGAUGUGGUACAUGACCCAUAAAACACCUCUAACGUCUUGGUUUAUUNAAAAGAACAAGUUGUGUUAAACGGGGAAAAGGCGUGGUGGUACUUGCAAUGUCCGUGACACAUUACGUGGAGGAAUGACAUCGAUAGUCACCUUUUGCACUUGUUAAGCUAAAUGUAUCCUACUUUUAACCACCUAAUAAGUUCACUAGGGAAUGUUUUUUACCGCUUUAAAAAUUAAACUAAAAGUCAGACUUUGAAUUUAUAAUGAAAAUGAUUAUAGUCGCUCGUGAUGAAUUGUCGGCUUAUUUUGCCGCCUCUAUAAGUAAAUAGGGGUAGUUUAGUCAUNGGAAUGGAUGAAUGAUGUGGCCGAUCACGACUGGUGUGGUUUCUAUCCUACGCACGUCGUAACGUCGGCCUCCCACUUAUAAAUAAUGGUCGACAGCAUUAUUGUGACAGUAGUUUGGACAUGUGAAAGACAGCAAUACAAGUGUUCUUCGUUGCCUAGUAUUUAUUUAUUUAUUCACGUAUUUAUUUAUAAACCUAUACAAGAGCGAGGAGAAACAGAACUCUGCAACAUCACAACAAGGUCAGUAAAGGUUCAAGUACAUUCAAAGUUUUAUUCUGUCAAGAGAUGACAUGUUUUACAAUAGUUUUCAGUCUUAAACUUCGCAGACUUCGCGCUGAAGUGAAGAACUACUUUUUGUGAAGAGUUCUGAUUUAGUUGUUUCAGAAUAAGUCAUAUAAUGUUGAAAAUACUGGUUUUAAUGUUAUAUCAAUCAAUAGUUGCAUGUCAUGUCGGCUAUUUUUGAAUACUAGAAAAGGUCAUGUUUGCCGAAUUUAAUCUGCGUUAUUCACUUAUUCAAGUAUCAUAUAAUUCAGCCAUUCAGAUAAUUGGACAGCAGGGGUCAGUUAUACAAAGNACGAACAGCGCUGGAGUUUAGUCCAAAAACCCAUGAAAUAGAUACUAAACUGAUACACCUUAA